AGUUGAGCGCUGAAGGUUGUGUACUUGUACCAACUGGAUGAGCAGCGAACGGGUGAGUAACGCGUGGGGAAUCUGCCUUUGAGCGGGGGACAACAUUUGGAAACGAAUGCUAAUACCGCAUAAAAACUUUAAACACAAGUUUUAAGUUUGAAAGAUGCAAUUGCAUCACUCAAAGAUGAUCCCGCGUUGUAUUAGCUAGUUGGUGAGGUAAAGGCUCACCAAGGCGAUGAUACAUAGCCGACCUGAGAGGGUGAUCGGCCACAUUGGGACUGAGACACGGCCCAAACUCCUACGGGAGGCAGCAGUAGGGAAUCUUCGGCAAUGGACGAAAGUCUGACCGAGCAACGCCGCGUGAGUGAAGAAGGUUUUCGGAUCGUAAAACUCUGUUGGUAGAGAAGAACGUUGGUGAGAGUGGAAAGCUCAUCAAGUGACGGUAACUACCCAGAAAGGGACGGCUAACUACGUGCCAGCAGCCGCGGUAAUACGUAGGUCCCGAGCGUUGUCCGGAUUUAUUGGGCGUAAAGCGAGCGCAGGUGGUUUAUUAAGUCUGGUGUAAAAGGCAGUGGCUCAACCAUUGUAUGCAUUGGAAACUGGUAGACUUGAGUGCAGGAGAGGAGAGUGGAAUUCCAUGUGUAGCGGUGAAAUGCGUAGAUAUAUGGAGGAACACCGGUGGCGAAAGCGGCUCUCUGGCCUCUAACUGACACUGAGGCUCGAAAGCGUGGGGGGAGCAAACAGGGAUUAGAUACCCUGGGUAGUCCCCCCCCUGUAAACGAUGAGUGCUAGGAUGUAGGGAGGUAAUAAGUUCUCCUGUAUCGCAGCAACGCAAUAAGCACUCUGCCUGGGGAAGUGAGGGCCGCAACCGUUGAUCUUUUCG
rnacentral:rRNA from 1 species